UUUGAGAGAAGGGAUGACACAGUAGGAUAAGCUAAGCACACUGUUGGUUAUGUGUGCCCAAGCAUUGAGGCAGUCAAAGUAGGCAAAUCCGCUUUGAUAAUGCUGGGAUGUGAUGGGGAGCGAAAUUUAGUAGCGAAGUAGCUGAUUUCACACUGUCAAGAAAAGUCUCUAUCGAGGUUAAAGGUACCCGUACCGCAAACCGACACAGGUGGGUGAGGAGAGUAUCCUAAGGCCAGCGAGAGAACUGUUGUUAAGGAACUCGGCAAAAUGACCCCGUAACUUAGGGAUAAGGGGUGCCACCAUCAGGUGGCCGCAGAGAAUAGGCCCAAGCGACUGUUUACCAAAAACAUAGGUUUCUGCUAAGUCGCAAGACGAUGUAUAGGAGCUGACGCCUGCCCGGUGCUGGAAGGUUAAGGGGAUCUGUUAGAGCAAUCGAAGCAGUGAACUUAAGCCCCAGUAAACGGCGGCCGUAACUAUAACGGUCCUAAGGUAGCGAAAUUCCUUGUCGGGUAAGUUCCGACCCGCACGAAAGGCGUAACGAUUUGGGCACUGUCUCA
rnacentral:rRNA from 1 species